GGCUCUUGUCUAUGUUCCUUGGAACAGGACGUCAUAGAGGGUGAGAAUCCCGUCUGAUGAGAUGCCCAUUCCUAUGUAAGGUGCUAUCGAAGAGUCGAGUUGUUUGGGAAUGCAGCUCUAAGUGGGUGGUAAAUUCCAUCUAAAGCUAAAUAUUGGCGAGAGACCGAUAGCGAACAAGUACAGUGAUGGAAAGAUGAAAAGAACUUUGAAAAGAGAGUGAAAAAGUACGUGAAAUUGUUGAAAGGGAAGGGCAUUAGAUCAGACUUGGUGUUUUACGAUUAUCUUCUCUUCUUGAGUUGUGCACUCGUAUUUCACUGGGCCAGCAUCGAUUCGGAUGGCAAGAUAAUAGCAGUUGAAUGUGGCUUCACUUCGGUGGAGUGUUAUAGCUUCUGUUGAUAUUGCCUGUCUGGAUCGAGGGCUGCGUCUUUUGACUAGGAUGCUGGCGUAAUGAUCUAAUGCCGCCCGUCUUGAAACACGGACCAAGGAGUCUAACGUCUAUGCGAGUGUUUGGGUGUAAAACCCGUACGCGUAAUGAAAGUGAACGUAGGUGAGAGCUCUUUAGAGUGCAUCAUCGACCGAUCCUGAUGUUUUCGGAUGGAUUUGAGUAAGAGCAUAGCUGUUGGG
rnacentral:rRNA from 1 species